rnacentral:rRNA from 1 species
UACAGAGGGGGCAAGCGUUAUUCGGAAUUAUUGGGCGUAAAGGGCGCGUAGGCGGCCUGGCAAGUGGAAGGUGAAAUCCCUCGGCUUAACCGAGGAACUGCCUCCCAAACUGCUUGGCUUGAGACCAGGAGAGGUGAGUGGAAUUCCCAGUGUAGCGGUGAAAUGCGUAGAUAUUGGGAGGAACACCAGUGGCGAAGGCGAGUCUCUGGACAUUUCCUGACGCUGAGGCACGAAAGCCAGGGGAGCAAACGGG